rnacentral:rRNA from 1 species
UUUAAGUGUUAUAUUAUUUACCUGGGUAUAUUAGUUAAGAUCUUUAAACCCAAAGAAUUUGGCGGUAUCUUACUCUGUUCAGAGGAACCUACCCCGUUAUUGAUAGUACACGAUUAACUUUACUUAAUUUAUUUGUUUGUAUAUCUCCGUUAUCAGAAAAUCUUUUUAGAGUUAUAAUUUUCUUAAUCUAUGAUUAUAAAGUAUUUCAGGUCAAGGUGCAGCUUAUGAUUAAGGGGAGGUGGGUUACAAUAAAUUUUUGUUUAUAUGAAUUUUAUAAUGAAACAUUGUUAAUGAAGGUGGAUUUGAUGGUAAAUUAAUUUAUUUAAUUUAAUUGAUAUUAGCUCUGAGGUGUGU